UACUACACUGCGUGAGCGGACGAAAACAACAACACCUAAAAUGUGGAAUAUAGCAUAUAGUCGACAAGAGAAAUCUACGAAAAACAAACAAAACUUUCAACAACGGAUCUCUUGGUUCUCGCAUCGAUGAAGAGCGCAGCGAAAUGCGAUACCUAGUGUGAAUUGCAGCCAUCGUGAAUCAUCGAGUUCUUGAACGCACAUUGCGCCCCUCGGCAUUCCGGGGGGCAUGCCUGUUUGAGCGUCGUUUCCAUCUUGCGCGUGCGCAGAGUUGGGGGAGCGGAGCGGACGACGUGUAAAGAGCGUCGGAGCUGCGACUCGCCUGAAAGGGAGCGAAGCUGGCCGAGCGAACUAGACUUUUUUUCAGGGACGCUUGGCGGCCGAGAGCGAGUGUUGCGAGACAACAAAAAGCUCGACCUCAAAUCAGGUAGGAAUACCCGCUGAACUUAAGCAUAUCAU
rnacentral:rRNA from 1 species